ACAAAGAAAAGCGACUGUGUCUCAUGACUGGCCGCUGUCCUCCGCCGGCUGAAGCGGGCCCUGUGUCUAGUGACAGCCUGUGCGGUCUGCGCUGAAUUCACGCGUCUGUGGGCAGCUGACCGGCCGGAGAGGGAACGAGGCAUUGGGGCUGCACGCUGCCAUCUCACUAGCUCAGGCCUUGGACAAGUUUCCCUUUCUGAGCUCCUGUUUUCUCAUCCGUACAACGGGCAUCCUGAUGCUAACUCCUGUGAGACUCAGCGAAGAUCACAUACAUGCAAAACAAAGGGACAGUGAGGGCGGGUGGGCCUGUCCACGCCAGGCAGGGCUCCGGCCUCUCAGAACAAAUGGGUGACACGGUUCUGACCCACAACACUGGGGCUUGGAGGGCUGCUUGCUGGCCUAGAUUCCCUGCGUGCUCGGGAAGGCCCAUCUUACAAAGUCCUCAAGUAAAGAUGCUCUUCUCCUCUGAUCCUCUCAAGCCAGAACAGUCUGUCCCCACACGUGCGCGGCAGCCCGCAGUCCCGCGGCCGUUACCUUGUAGGGCACUUCUCCAAGCCUCACCACUCGGGCCUGUUUCAGCCACGUGUCCCUGGAGUGCAGGGUGUGCACGCAGUCCCUAAGGAGCCAAUGGGAGACAAGACAGGGUUCACGCCCACCGAAGCACCCCGCAGGGCCCGGCUGCCUCCUCUGGCCCCCCAGGAGAAGGGGGAGCUCGGCCCUGGAGCGUCUCCCGGGGCACCAGGGGCCUGCGUCAGGCCCACGGUUAACAGGCACCUGCUGUCUCGCGGGGGGAUGCAUCCACUCACAAAUCCCAAACUAAAUGGCUUCCCGUGGUGCCUUGCCCCUCCUCCCGCCAGAAGGGCCCAGCAGUGCAGGUGCAAGCCCUCACCCAGGGUCUGGUCCGCUCCCGAAUACCAGAGAGGGGGAGGGAGGGACGAGUGUCCAGAGAAGGGGUGGGGAAGCCAGAAGACGACGCGGAGACUACAGUAAGCUGACAAAGUACACAGGUUAGGAUGAACGCACACAGAACAGUCGGUUCCAUCUGGCUCUGGCUUCGCUCUCCUUCCAGAGCUUAGAGCCACACCCUGCCUCCCAUUCCAGCUGCUUCCUGCCGAGCCUUCAGCAAGGCCCGCCCUUCAGUGGGGCUCCAAGGAGCAAGGGCACUAAGCUCCCUCUGGUGCGGACAUCCGGCCCUUCGCCUGCCCCCGGGCUGAGGCUGACGUCCAGCACAGCACACCGGACAAGGUCACACCUCCUCUGUGCCCCUUCCUAGCGGGAUGACCCCCGAUCCAUCAGGAACGGUGGGCACUGCCUCCCUGCCUCACAAGCUGCUGGGGGGACCAGGGACAAGGGCUCCACACGCAUGCCCACCGCAGGGGCACAUCUCUGCCUGAAGGAGUGACUGUCACGGUCGUGGUCUUCCGGUAGGAGCGGAGAAGGGGCAAGCAGGUGGGCAUCGCCUGGACAUUCACAAGGAUAGCAGAGGGAAGUGGGCACAGACAGCCCGUUCACAAUAAAUCUCAGCUUCUAACCACUUUACAUCUGUUAGGACACUACUCAAGAAACAGAAAACAAGAACUGGAGAGAAUGUAGAGACACUGGGAACUUCAUGCUCUGCUGGGGGAUGUAAAAUGAUGCAGCCACUGCAGAAAACAGUGCGGAGGUUCUUCACAAAGUUAAACAGAAUCACCAUGUGAUGCAGAAAUCCUACUUCUGGGCAUAUACAUCCAAAAGGACUAAAAGCAGGGUCUCAAGAGAUGUCUGUGCACCCAUGUUCAUAGCAGCACUAAACACAACCAAAAGGGGAAGCAACACAAGUGUCCAUCAAUGGAUGCCAGUCACAAAAGGACAAAUGCUGUAGGAUCCACUUCUAUGAGGCAGGGACCCCCUUCCCACCAGAUGUCCCCUGCACGUAGGACACCUGUGCUGUAUCCUCCAUUGAGGUCGCCAGGCCCUGGACGCUGUCGGCAGCUGGGCCCCUGACCAGCCAGGGGGCAGAAAGCUCCCACAGUGACCCUAACCGGAGGGUCGGGGAUGCCUCCCCUCGGGGCUGAGCUGCAGGAAGUAGCUGUCAGGCAGAGGAGUUGAGCCACCUACUCCUGCUGCAGCCUCUCCGCCGUGCCCCCCGCCCACAACGGCAUGCGCACACUGUGAAGCUCCAACCCCAGCCCAGCGAAGGCUGCUAAUCCCGGGCCGCCGGGCGUCUCCUCACCUGGAGUAGACAGCCUCUCCGCGGCAGUACCCGAGGAUGGCAGCCGUCUCAGGGUAGAUGGCCUCGUACUUGAGGAGGUGCCUCUUGAGGGCAUACAGAGGGUGGUUCUUGUACGUGCCUAUGACGGUGGGCAGAGGCUGGUCCAGGUGCCUCGCCUGAAACUGCAGAGGCCGAGAGACGACGUUGGGCGUGGUGCUCGGAGAGGGAGGGAGGGAGGUUGGCGGUGACCACCGAACUUGCCCAGGUAACUGACGGUGCCGUGGGGCUUUCGGAGCCCCAGGGCCACCGCACCACGCUGUGACCUGGCGUUCUGUCCCACAGGUUUAGGUGCCUCGGAAGCUCCGCAGGGGCCAGUAAUCCUGCAGCUCGCAGCAACGGAAAAGUCCUCCCUGCCCUCUGACACCUCGGCCGGCCCGAGCAGAGCCUUCCUCGGGAGGAGGCCUCACCUCAAGUGACACCACAAUUCUGUGACACGGGUUCAGCGGCUCGGCUCCCACGGAAACCAGAACGAGCACUCACACCUUCUCCGUCCACUACGAUCUACACCUGUUCUCCCCGCUGCCUCAAGGCGCCUAGCUCCUCGCAGGCAACCCCACUGCUCUCACCUGCAUCCCACUCACCAGGUCUCCUGCACUUCCCCGCAGCAUCUCUUCAAACCCCGACAGACAAGGGAGGAGCGGCAAGUGGGAGCAGGAGGGACCCCGCUUGGCCAGCUUGCAUGACAAGCCCUUGAACUAGGUCAGUCGCAACACGCUCUGCACGACUGCCACGACCCUGUCACCUCUGAGCCACACCCUGAGCGAUGCAGUGCACAGGGACGACUCCCUGCCCUGGGGAACUGGCAAUAAUUCUCCAGCAAGUCUGCCGACCCUGCGGGCGGCCCUGCACAAGCCCCGGGCCCUCUUCCGGGCCCACGGCUGUCCCUCGACUCAGGGACGCGCUGCUCCAGAAGCCGCCCCCAGGGCGCCCCUCACAGACGAGCCAUCUCCUCAGCCCUCCUCCUGGGGGCUGGGCGUUCUGCGUCGGGGCAGGGAUGCUGGCGUGCACGCCUCUGCGCGCGCGCACGCUGAGAAGGGAGGACAGUCGUAUUACUGCGCGCUUUCCUCUUUCACUCAGGACUACCUACCUGACUUAAAGCUCCAAAUUUAUAACUGGGCAAUAACUGAACGUACACAGGCUUUGAAGCCAGAGCAACCUGGGUUCAAAUACCAGGUCGGCUCAUCUCUCAGACUCUAAAUGUUCAGCUGGUAAAACGAAGGCUACGAUAACCCCAGCUUUGUACUGCUGCUGUGAUAAGUAACUGAGCUAACACUCUACAAACACGACACGGGGCUGGGCAUCCAGCAGGGGCGCGUGCGCAAGGCCUCACCUCCUGGUCCUCCCUCUGCUCCCUCGCCACCAGCGGGCUCCGGUAGGGUCGCAGGGCCUCGGCCCACCACGCGGCGUCAACCCGGCACUUUCGGGUCGCCGUCAUCCAGGCAGGGUCGUACCUCUGUGUGACGUCGCGCACCCAGCCGUCGCCGUCGAUGCCCACGAUGUAGGUCACAGGCUUGGUGGCGUGCUGGUAGCAGGUCAGGGGCUGGCCCACGACUCCGUGCACACAGUCCACGCACAGCCACUUCUCCUCCCGCUCGGAGAACACCUCCAGCCACUGGUCCACACCAGCUGCUCUCCGGCCGUCUGCCUCCUCACCAUCCACGGGCAUCGUACGCUUGCCUCUCUUACGCUUACUGCCGGAAGCGCUUACAGACGCUUCUGGAAAGCCAGGGGGCUGAGGCUGGCUUCCACGCUGGGACCUGGACUCCCUCUUGGACCCCACCUUCAUCCUCUGAGGGGCGGUGGCCCUCCUCUGCCUUGAAAGGCCUGGCUCAGAAUCCUCGUCGGAUGGGCGAUGGCUGUCCGAGCUGGAGAGCUCAAAGUCAGAGCCGCUGCCGGCCUCGUCACUCCCGCUCUCUUCUUUGUAAGACACCCUGGCGGCCGCCCGCCGCUCCCGGCCCCGCGAACGCCUCUGGGUCCCCUCCGUCUGCCCCCCGGCCUUGCCCUCUUCUUCCCUGCUGGAGGAGGGCUCUCUCCGCUUCUUCCUGAUGGCAGCCGCCUUGCUCCCCUUCCCUUUGGCACGUGCACUGCCAGCGCCCUCAGAAGACGUGUCCUCUCGUCUGCUUCCUCUGCUGGUCUCUGGUUUGCUUGGUUUUCCAGGAACUUGGCUGGAAGUUUCUGAGGAGCCUCCAGGACCCUCUGUGGAUCUCUCCUUGGAAGGUUUCUUUCCCUUAAACAGAAUAGGAAAUUUUUUCUUUUUCUUUUUUUGCUAAUGAUACAAUAAAGACUCUGGCAUCUAACGGGGCUAAGUCACACUGGAACACCAGCGUACACAAGACGUUCCCGGCUCAGACAGUGACAGGCUGGCUACCCUCCAGGGCUGUAAGAAAGCAGUCACUAAAUUCUGCAGCACCUUAAAUAAGGCCACACUCUAAUUCUUUUCAAUACAAAGUGUAGCACAGGGAAAAGAGCACGGGAUGUGGAAACAGACAAAUCCGGGUUCAAACUCCACUUCUGCUUUCUCAUUUUUUAUGUGAUUUGGAUAAAUUAUGUCACCUCUGAGUCUCAGUUUCCUCAGCAAUAGUACUCACCUUGCACAUAAGGCAUUUUGCAAACAAAGUCACAGCAUUAAGAAUUCAGAAAUUAUUAAACUUGACUUCUGGACCCAAUUUCAGACAAUGCCAGCACCCCAAGGAGCACAGCGGUCAGCCUCCUCGGAUGACGGUAGAGUUCUGAGUCCUCACCGUCCUCUCUCCACACCGCUGAGGAGGACCAGUACCUUCUUAUUCCACCACUUACAGAACAGAAACCAGAGCACAAAGGAGCCCAAGCUCUCGCAGGCCCCUCUACGCACGCAAAGCCUGGCUGCUAGAUACCCACCCAGGCGCCCAGUCUUCCCAGCACAGGGCCUGUGCCAGGCAGGCUCCGAGGAACCCUGCUCCACGAAGACUGAUUUUUAAAAAUCGUCUAAUGAGCAGAUCUGUUUGCUUUAAGUCUCAUAAUUUCUCACUCCUCCCUGACCAACUACUCUUUUCUCUGGAAGCCCCGGGAACCUCACCUUCGCUGCUGAUAACUUCAGAGGAAUUGGCUGUAGAGACAGUACGAGUCGGGUAGGGAGAUGCAGGGCCCGGAGAAUCAGUAAAAAUAUCUAUAAUGAAAAAGAACAACAUGCUUAUCCUCAGGAAAGAAUUUAGGAUUUGCAUAAUUCCAUGCUGUUUGUUGUGGUGCCUGUUUAUAAAAGGGAAACAACCAAAUUGUCUAACAGUAGGAGCCUGGAACCCUCAACACUAUUAAAAUGAUGCUGUAGAGAUUUAUCUUUGUAGAAAAAUGGGGAAAGGUAACCAUAUAUU